AUUGAACGCUGGCGGCAGGCCUAACACAUGCAAGUCGGGCGAGCGGCGGACGGGUGAGUAAUGUAUGGGGAUCUGCCUGAUGGAGGGGGAUAACGUCCGGCAACGGGCGCUCAUACCGCAUACUAUCAGAUGAGCCCAGGUCGGAUUAGCUAGUUGGUGGGGUAAAGGCCCACAAAGGCGACGAUCCGUAACUGGUCUGAGAGGAUGAUCAGUCCGACUGGAACUGAGACACGGUCCAGACUCCAACGGGAGGCAGCAGUGGGGAAUAGUGCACAAUGGGCGCAAGCCUGAUGCAGCCAUGCCGCGUGUAUGAAGAAGGCCUUCGGGUUGUAAAGUACUUUCAGUCGGGAGGCGUUACCGACAGAAUAAGCACCGGCUAACUCCGUGCCAGCAGCCGCGGUAAUUC
rnacentral:rRNA from 1 species